rnacentral:rRNA from 1 species
CCUACGGGAGGCAGCAGUGGGGAAUUUUGGACAAUGGGCGAAAGCCUGAUCCAGCAAUGCCGCGUGAGUGAAGAAGGCCUUCGGGUUGUAAAGCUCUUUUGUCAGGGAAGAAACGGUGAGAGCUAAUAUCUUUUGCUAAUGACGGUACCUGAAGAAUAAGCACCGGCUAACUACGUGCCAGCAGCCGCGGUAAUACGUAGGGUGCAAGCGUUAAUCGGAAUUACUGGGCGUAAAGCGUGCGCAGGCGGUUUUGUAAGUCUGAUGUGAAAUCCCCGGGCUCAACCUGGGAAUUGCAUUGGAGACUGCAAGGCUAGAAUCUGGCAGAGGGGGGUAGAAUUCCACGUGUAGCAGUGAAAUGCGUAGAUAUGUGGAGGAACACCGAUGGCGAAGGCAGCCCCCUGGGUCAAGAUUGACGCUCAUGCACGAAAGCGUGGGGAGCAAACAGGAUUAGAUACCCUGGUAGUCCACGCCCUAAACGAUGUCUACUAGUUGUCGGGUCUUAAUUGACUUGGUAACGCAGCUAACGCGUGAAGUAGACCGCCUGGGGAGUACGGUCGCAAGAUUAAAACGUCAAAGUAGUAGUAGGACGUCGAGGACGUUAGCGACGGAGGACACCGAGGGAGGGUUAGG